AUGGACGCCGGAGCUCCCCUCUCCAGCUCCGCUGCGCUGCACCCCUGCUCUCCCGCACGUCCUCCUCCGCCGCCACAGCUUACUCCUCAGCCGCUCCCUCCUGCCUCGCGUAGCUCCCCUGACCCCCUUGCCUGCCUCCCGAAUCUCCCCUCUUUCACUCCAAAAAUCAUUUCUUCUCCUCCCGCCGUGUCUCCUGCUCGCGUGCGGCGACGGCACGUCCCCCUCGUCGACCCCGCCUCCGGUCGCCGCCUCGGCCGUGCGCCCAUCUCCUCUCGUUCCAUCUGCGGCGAGCCGGAUUUGGGCCUCAACGAGAAGGUCAGCUUCCUUUCUCUGCACGAGCACGCGGAGGCCGCGGCCCUCACGGACGCCGUCGAGCAGGCCGCAGGUCCACAGAUGACGGACGCAGUAGUACGUCCUCGGGCCUCCUACUCGUGCGAGGCAGGAAUGCAUGGCGACGGCGUGGACGCCCCCUCCGUGGUCACCACGCCGGGGGGAGGUGGUGGCAACACAGCAGCUCGAGCUCGCCUUCCUCAACCCCAGCACCCUGACCCUGAGGCGAAUGUGGAUGUUGCACAAUAUUGUGAAGGUGUAGCACUGCUCAAUUCAAUUUCCACUGCACAUAUCUACUUCAAUUUCUACUACAAAUUCACCUUUUCAACAGCAGACGCGGGGCAGAGAAGUCAGACGGCAAGGAGGAGCAGCAGCAUCAGACGGCGAGGAGGAGCAGAAGCAUCAGACGGCGAGGACUCGAUCGGGGGCGUUGGCGUUGCCCAAGAGCAGCAGCAUCAGAGGCUGGAGGGAAUCGCGGCGGCCGCAGAAGGAAGCGGCGGCCAGCGACUUGCCCAAAUCCCGCACCGGCGGCCGCGGGCGCGAGGAAGCGGGCAGAGGAUGAGGGCGCGGGCCGCACCGGCUAGGGACGCGAGCAGGGCGACAAAGGAGGUGCCGUCAGCCGUGGAGGAGGCGGGCGUCCAGUUGGUCGCCGCGGAGGAGCAGUCACCUCCGUGUGGGCGGCGGCGCAGCUCGCCUUCGUGCAGGCGGCACAGGUGGGCAGGGGCGCCGCGGAUUGGCAGCGGCGGCGCAGGUGGGCGGUGGCGCAGCGGCGACGCAGGUGGACGGCAGCGCGCUGGGCUCUACGGUGGCUGCCGACGGCGCGCUGGGCUUGUUCCUGCCGUGGGCGUCCGGAGGAGGAAGAAGCAAAGGGGUAAUUAG
rnacentral:rRNA from 1 species